rnacentral:lncRNA from 1 species
AAGGGUAGAUGCUGUAUCUGUGCCGUGCGUGUUAUGAGUCUGUGCUUUGGAAUGUGGACGUUCUGUGGUGAGAAACCCAGUGACCGGGAGCCGCUCCACGGCGAGACCAGCAGCAACCUCAGAGAGGAGACGGGCGACAGCGCCUUGGCCUGGGCCUCGGGCCAGCAAGCCAGAAGGCCCCACUUCAUGGUGAAUUUCCACCACAAAGAAGCAUGUCAAGCUGUAUUUCGGGAGCUCAACGAUGCAGCCCACAAGGGGCCAAGUGCUGGAGAAAGGAAGGAGACGGUGGCAGCAAGGACUGUGGGGCGACCUGGCUGUCAUGAACGGCAGGAGAUUCCCUGGAGGAAGAAAUCACCAGGAAGAGGCCAGCAACCGUCAGCUCAGGGCAGUGCGAACCCAGGGCCUCUGUGGCAGUCAUCAGAGACUGACCGGUCUUCUGCACCCAGAAAAGGGGCUGUGCUGGAAAGCAGGCCCAGGACUGGACUCGAGGUCACAAGGUUACAACCCCCAAAUCCCCAUCACAGACCAUCUUCUACACCACGGCUGGUACAACCCCCAAAUCCCCAUCACAGACCAUCUUCUACACCAAGGCUGGCACAACCCCCAAAUCCCCAUCACAGACAGUCUUCUACACCACGGCUGGCACAACCCCCAAAUCCCCAUCACAGACCAUCUUCUACACCACGGCUGGCACAACCCCCAAACCCCCAUCACAGACCAUCUUCUACACCACGGCUGGCACAACCCCCAAAUUCCCCAUCACAGACCAUUUUCUACACCACGGCUGGUACAACCCCCAAAUCCCAUCACAGACCAUCUUCUACACCAUGGCUGGCCCCGCUGGGCAGGGUGGAGCCUGAGAUUGGCACAUUUGUGUGGAGGCUUGUGGCCUGGGAGCCCCGGGACCCUGAGUCCCUGUCACCUGGAGGCCUUGUCAAGGAUAUAUUCACAAGAUGAUGACGGUUGUCCUCAAGACCUGCCCUGAACCCUUGGCCUCAGAUUCAUCUGUGGAUCACACCUGGCACCUUCCAUAAGGAGGAAUGGGCUCCCUACUGCAGGAACCAGCUGAGAGGCCCAGCCCACAGGUACGCAGGAACAGGUGUCUUGACAGCAUGGGGCCAGAAGCUCAACAUACUAGGCUGGAGAGGGAGGAUGUGGAGGUUGAGUGCUAUCCUGUGACUCCGGAUCCAAUCCUGGGAGGAGAGCCUGGAGUUGGGCCAGAGGGUCAUGGGGAACCUCGGAGCCUGGGAGCCACAGUGGAGCAUGAGACCCAGGUGAGGGGCUGCCGUCAGGGGAGGGGCUGCUGUUAGGGGAGGGGCUGCUG